rnacentral:rRNA from 1 species
UGGGGAAUUUUGGACAAUGGGCGAAAGCCUGAUCCAGCAAUGCCGCGUGUGUGAAGAAGGCCUUCGGGUUGUAAGCACUUUUGUCCGGAAAGAAAUCCUUGGCUCUAAUACAGUCGGGGGAUGACGGUACCGGAAGAAUAAGCACCGGCUAACUACGUGCCAGCAGCCGCGGUAAUACGUAGGGUGCAAGCGUUAAUCGGAAUUACUGGGCGUAAAGCGUGCGCAGGCGGUUUGCUAAGACCGAUGUGAAAUCCCCGGGCUCAACCUGGGAACUGCAUUGGUGACUGGCAGGCUAGAGUAUGGCAGAGGGGGGUAGAAUUCCACGUGUAGCAGUGAAAUGCGUAGAGAUGUGGAGGAAUACCGAUGGCGAAGGCAGCCCCCUGGGCCAAUACUGACGCUCAUGCACGAAAGCGUGGGGAGCAAACAGGAUUAGAUACCCUGGUAGUCCACGCCCUAAACGAUGUCAACUAGUUGUGGGGAUUCAUUCCUUAGUAACGUAGCUAACGCGUGAAGUUGACCGCCUGGGGAGUACGGUCGAAGAUUAAAACUCAAA